UACGGAGGAUCCGAGCGUUAUCUGGAUUUAUUGGGUUUAAAGGGUGCGCAGGCGGGGGAUUAAGUCGGCGGUGAAAUUUUGCAGCUCAACUGUAAAAGUGCCUUCGAAACUGGUUUCCUUGAGUGUAGAUGAAGUAGGCGGAAUUUGUGGUGUAGCGGUGAAAUGCAUAGAUAUCACGAGGAACUCCGAUUGCGAAGGCAGCUUACUAAGCUACUACUGACGCUCAGGCACGAAGGCGUGGGGAUCAAACAGGAUUAGAUACCCUGGUA
rnacentral:rRNA from 1 species